rnacentral:lncRNA from 1 species
GGGGAGCGCCGGGGCGGGGGCUCGGGGACUUCGGGCCGAACUUGGCGGCGCGAUGGGGAACGAGCGCUGGAAAACCAUGGGAGGAGCCUCGCAACUUGAGGACGGGCAGCAGGAGAAACCGCAGGCGGCUUUCUGGCAGCGCUGCGAUUCCCUGUGACAGCUGCACCGGGGUCAGGGGAAAAUCACCGCCCGCGUCCCGCAGGUGUAAUGAGAAGGGGCCGGAGCUGAUGGCUGGAUGGCAGCUCACACCCUCCGUGCUGAUGGCUUUGCAAGAACGGGCACUCGCUGCACCCUGAGCAGCUCCUGCAGGCUGAGCCCGGGAGCGACCGCUCCUCCAUUGGGUCCCAGUGGGAUAGGAUCACCCCGGAGCAGGGAGAAGCCCCGCUGGGAGCGACCCCCAUUGCUGCUCAGAGUGGCUCCGGCCUCCUCACACCGCCGGGAACACCCCGUGCUCCCCUCUCUCCCUUUGCUUUCCCCUCCGUCCCCACUGCAGGGCACGGCGUGGGGGUUCUCCCUUUCCCUCCCUGCAUUCCCACACUCCCAGGGCAUUGGGGAGCCCACGUGCACCUCCUGGGGCUGGGGCUGCUCCCACCGAGCGUUAUGCCUUCAAUAAAACAUACACGCAGCCGC